AUUGAACGCUGGCGGCAGGCCUAACACAUGCAAGUCGAACGAGUGGCGGACGGGUGAGUAAUGUCUGGGAAACUGCCUGAUGGAGGGGGAUAACUACUGGAAACGGUAGCUAAUACCGCAUACCAUCGGAUGUGCCCAGAUGGGAUUAGCUAGUAGGUGGGGUAACGGCUCACCUAGGCGACGAUCCCUAGCUGGUCUGAGAGGAUGACCGUCCACACUGGACCUGAUACACGGUCCAGACUCCGACGGGAGGCAGCAGUGGGGAAUAUUGCACAAUGGGCGCAAGCCUGAUGCAGCCAUGCCGCUUGUAUGAAGAAGGCCUUCGGGUUGUAAUGUACUUUCAGCGGGGAUGCGUUCCCCGCAGAAGAAGCACCGGCUAACUCCGUGCCAGCAGCCGCGGUAAUUC
rnacentral:rRNA from 1 species